rnacentral:rRNA from 1 species
UAUGGGCGAGAGCCUGAACCAGCCAAGUAGCGUGAAGGAUGAAGGCUCUNCNGGUCGUAAACUUCUUUUAUAUGGGAAUAAAGUAUUCCACGUGUGGAAUUUUGUAUGUACCAUAUGAAUAAGGAUCGGCUAACUCCGUGCCAGCAGCCGCGGUAAUACGGAGGAUCCGAGCGUUAUCCGGAUUUAUUGGGUUUAAAGGGAGCGUAGAUGGAUGUUUAAGUCAGUUGUGAAAGUUUGCGGCUCAACCGUAAAAUUGCAGUUGAUACUGGGUGUCUUGAGUACAGUAGAGGCAGGCGGAAUUCGUGGUGUAGCGGUGAAAUGCUUAGAUAUCACGAAGAACUCCGAUUGCGAAGGCAGCUCACUAGACUGUUACUGACACUGAUGCUCGAAAGUGUGGGUAUCAAACAGGAUUAGAUACCCUGGUAGUCCAAGGGCGAAUUC